rnacentral:rRNA from 1 species
UGGGGAAUUUUGGGCAAUGGGCGAAAGCCUGACCCAGCAACGCCGCGUGAAGGAUGAAGUAUUUCGGUAUGUAAACUUCGAAAGAAUAGGAAGAAUAAAUGACGGUACUAUUUAUAAGGUCCGGCUAACUACGUGCCAGCAGCCGCGGUAAUACGUAGGGACCAAGCGUUGUUCGGAUUUACUGGGCGUAAAGGGCGCGUAGGCGGCAAUUCAAGUCAUCUGUGAAAUCUCCGGGCUUAACUCGGAACGGUCAGAUGAUACUGCUUUGCUAGAGUGCAGAAGGGGCAAUCGGAAUUCUUGGUGUAGCGGUGAAAUGCGUAGAUAUCAAGAGGAACACCUGAGGUGAAGACGGGUUGCUGGGCUGACACUGACGCUGAGGCGCGAAAGCCAGGGGAGCAAACGGGAUUAGAUACCCCGUAGUCCCUGAGCGGGCUGGCAAGGCGCAU